rnacentral:rRNA from 1 species
GGUGCCUAAUACAUGCAAGUCGAGCGCAGGAAACUGACGGAACUCUUCGGAGGGAAGGCAGCGGAAUGAGCGGCGGACGGGUGAGUAACACGUAAGGAACCUGCCUCAAGGAUUGGGAUAACUCCGAGAAAUCGGAGCUAAUACCGGAUAGUUCAACGGACCGCAUGGUCCGCUGAUGAAAGGCGCUUCGGCGUCACCUUGAGAUGGCCUUGCGGUGCAUUAGCUAGUUGGUGGGGUAACGGCCCACCAAGGCGACGAUGCAUAGCCGACCUGAGAGGGUGAUCGGCCACACUGGGACUGAGACACGGCCCAGACUCCUACGGGAGGCAGCAGUAGGGAAUCUUCCACAAUGGACGAAAGUCUGAUGGAGCAACGCCGCGUGAGUGAUGAAGGUUUUCGGAUCGUAAAACUCUGUUGUAAGGGAAGAACACGUACGAGAGGAAAUGCUCGUACCUUGACGGUACCUUACGAGAAAGCCACGGCUAACUACGUGCCAGCAGCCGCGGUAAUACNUAGGUGGCAAGCGUUGUCCGGAAUUAUUGGGCGUAAAGCGCGCGCAGGCGGCCUUUUAAGUCUGAUGUGAAAGCCCCCGGCUCAACCGGGGAGGGCCAUUGGAAACUGGAAGGCUUGAGUACAGAAGAGAAGAGUGGAAUUCCACNUGUAGCGGUNAAAUGCGUANAGCUGUGGAGGAAACCAGUGGCGAAGGCGACUCUU